rnacentral:lncRNA from 1 species
CGGCCGGGCCGGGAGGUGCGGAAGUUCGCCGCCGCUGUUCAUUGGCAGGCAGCGCCGCUUUCAUCAUUUCUCGGAAAAGUCAAUUUCAUUUUCACUUCCCCACGUCGCGGCAGCGGGAGCAACAAGCGGCUGCUCUCUUGUAUAAUGAAACCAGAAUGAUCUCCUCAGUGAGGCAUGCUUGUGUUUUACCUGUGGAAUGGAACAUCCUAAAGGAAGAUCUCCCUGGAUGCAUCAGGACCAAUUUCUUUUCAAGGAGUCGAGUAAGGACAUGUAGAGAUGGAUCUCUCCAUGAAUGGAACUCAACUAAGGAAGAAAUUGAAAGACACAUUCCAGGGGGCCUCCUGGCAAGACUGCUUUAACCCAAAGCCACCCAGUAGACCCACGAUGGAGACCCCUUUAAGCAGGUCUCGCUUCACAUGGACAAAACCAGCAGAAGGUCCUAUAUGAUCAGACGGCGUCUCUUACCUGUGAAAGGACCAGUCUCCAAUCCUUGGAUAGAGAGAUUGGAUUUAAGAUUCCCAUCUGGCAACAGUGAGGAAAUGAGAAGCUUUUUGGAGGUCAGGGUCGGCCUGAGCCCCGUAGACCUGGCGAUUCCUUCUGUAGUCAGCGUGCGUGGCUGUUCCCCACCUGUUGCACCCAGGAGACGACGAAGCUGGAGGAGGAGCCUCUGUUCCAUCUGCCAGACUCGAGGGAACCAGGAGGCUUCAGAGACUCUCCUCAUGGUCAUUCCAGCCACAUCGCCCUCGUAUUAUAGCCAGCAAAGCAGUGCGCACAGCCCAGAAUUCUUGGCAUAAUUUGUGGACGUGGGAAUUAUAAAGGAGGGUGAGGUUUUUCCUUCAUUACAGAGCACUGGUCCACAGAAGAAGGCAGUAGCCCUCUGGAUAAAAGGUAAAUAAAUUUAGCAUGUGGUGUAGCCAAACUGCACAGAUCUUAGAUCAGAAGACCUCCCCUCUCCACAACAGCUGGAGGACCCCAGCGAGCCAUUUGCCCACUCUGAGCCAGCUUCCUCUUCUGUAAAAAUACCAACUCGCCUAAUCCCUUU